GGUGUUGUGGCGCAAUGGUGAGCGCAUCGGAUUUCGGUUCAUAAUCGAAAUCAAAUUUUCCGAAGGCUGCAGGUUCGAAUCCUGUCAACAUCG